UUGGUUUCUCAUAAUAAACAUUCUGGCACCAAAUUCAUUAUACAACACAGUCCCUUCCAAAUAAACAUUUAAGCUUUCUAACAAAAAUGUAACGAGCCAUCUCUUGAAGUUCAAAAAACAAACAAAAUCCAGCUAACCAGAGGAAAACCAUAAGAUAAUAUUUCAAGGUUUUACGAAUACAAGAAAACUGACUCAACAACUCACACAUGUAUUCUACAACAUGACUAUUUGAGAGCGAUUGAAUAAUCUCUAGCUACAUGCUUGACCGUCUAAAUCUUUGGCUAACACUAUGGAAAACGUACAUGUAGAUUGCAUCGGUUCCCAAUUGCAAAAUGUACCUGUCAAUACAAGUUAAUUUUAAGAAGAAAAAAUGCAAGUUAAUUCUUACCUAAUAUCAUUUUCCUUCGAAU
rnacentral:lncRNA from 1 species